UUAAAUCCUGUCUCCGCAA
rnacentral:tRNA from 1 species